rnacentral:tRNA from 1 species
GCGGGAGUUGCCGAGCUGGUCAAAGGCGGCGGACUUAAGAUCCGCUCUCGCAGGAGUUCGUGGGAUCGAGCCACCUCCCGCACCA